rnacentral:rRNA from 1 species
ACUUAAAUUGAAGAGUUUGAUCAUGGCUCAGAUUGAACGCUGGCGGCAGGCCUAACACAUGCAAGUCGAGCGGUAGCACAGAGAGCUUGCUCUCGGGUGACGAGCGGCGGACGGGUGAGUAAUGUCUGGGAAACUGCCUGAUGGAGGGGAUAACUACUGGAAACGGUAGCUAAUACCGCAUAAUGUCGCAAGACCAAAGUGGGGGACCUUCGGGCCUCAUGCCAUCAGAUGUGCCCAGAUGGGAUUAGCUAGUAGGUGGGGUAACGGCUCACCUAGGCGACGAUCCCUAGCUGGUCUGAGAGGAUGACCAGCCACACUGGAACUGAGACACGGUCCAGACUCCUACGGGAGGCAGCAGUGGGGAAUAUUGCACAAUGGGCGCAAGCCUGAUGCAGCCAUGCCGCGUGUGUGAAGAAGGCCUUCGGGUUGUAAAGCACUUUCAGCGGGGAGGAAGGCGUUAAGGUUAAUAACCUUGGCGAUUGACGUUACCCGCAGAAGAAGCACCGGCUAACUCCGUGCCAGCAGCCGCGGUAAUACGGAGGGUGCAAGCGUUAAUCGGAAUUACUGGGCGUAAAGCGCACGCAGGCGGUCUGUCAAGUCGGAUGUGAAAUCCCCGGGCUCAACCUGGGAACUGCAUUCGAAACUGGCAGGCUAGAGUCUUGUAGAGGGGGUAGAAUUCCAGGUGUAGCGGUGAAAUGCGUAGAGAUCUGGAGGAAUACCGGUGGCGAAGGCGGCCCCCUGGACAAAGACUGACGCUCAGGUGCGAAAGCGUGGGGAGCAAACAGGAUUAGAUACCCUGGUAGUCCACGCCGUAAACGAUGUCGAUUUGGAGGUUGUGCCCUUGAGGCGUGGCUUCCGGAGCUAACGCGUUAAAUCGACCGCCUGGGGAGUACGGCCGCAAGGUUAAAACUCAAAUGAAUUGACGGGGGCCCGCACAAGCGGUGGAGCAUGUGGUUUAAUUCGAUGCAACGCGAAGAACCUUACCUGGUCUUGACAUCCACAGAACUUUCCAGAGAUGGAUUGGUGCCUUCGGGAACUGUGAGACAGGUGCUGCAUGGCUGUCGUCAGCUCGUGUUGUGAAAUGUUGGGUUAAGUCCCGCAACGAGCGCAACCCUUAUCCUUUGUUGCCAGCGGUUAGGCCGGGAACUCAAAGGAGACUGCCAGUGAUAAACUGGAGGAAGGUGGGGAUGACGUCAAGUCAUCAUGGCCCUUACGACCAGGGCUACACACGUGCUACAAUGGCAUAUACAAAGAGAAGCGACCUCGCGAGAGCAAGCGGACCUCAUAAAGUAUGUCGUAGUCCGGAUUGGAGUCUGCAACUCGACUCCAUGAAGUCGGAAUCGCUAGUAAUCGUAGAUCAGAAUGCUACGGUGAAUACGUUCCCGGGCCUUGUACACACCGCCCGUCACACCAUGGGAGUGGGUUGCAAAAGAAGUAGGUAGCUUAACCUUCGGGAGGGCGCUUACCACUUUGUGAUUCAUGACUGGGGUGAAGUCGUAACAAGGUAACCGUAGGGGAACCUGCGGUUGGAUCACCUCCUUACCUUAAAGAA